GUGGGGAAUCUUGCGCAAUGGGCGAAAGCCUGACGCAGCCAUGCCGCGUGAAUGAUGAAGGUCUUAGGAUUGUAAAAUUCUUUCACCGGGGACGAUAAUGACGGUACCCGGAGAAGAAGCUCCGGCUAACUUCGUGCCAGCAGCCGCGGUAAUACGAAGGGGGCUAGCGUUGCUCGGAAUUACUGGGCGUAAAGGGCGCGUAGGCGGACAGUUUAGUCAGAGGUGAAAGCCCAGGGCUCAACCUUGGAAUUGCCUUUGAUACUGGCUGUCUUGAGUACGGGAGAGGUGAGUGGAACUCCGAGUGUAGAGGUGAAAUUCGUAGAUAUUCGGAAGAACACCAGUGGCGAAGGCGACUCACUGGCCCGUUACUGACGCUGAGGCGCGAAAGCGUGGGGAGCAAACAGGAUUAGAAACCCCGGUUCC
rnacentral:rRNA from 1 species